CAAAAAGGACAUUGCAAUUACGAGACAUUAAUAUUUAGAUAUUUAUUCAAAAAGGGUACAAUUCUAGUUUUUAGGGAAGAAAAAUAAAUCAUUAACUCAUGUUGAUACUUUAAAAAACUUUAUAAUGUUACUUGAAAAUUCAACUGAAGUCAUUUUGCCAUCCUAGAAUCACACUAGUCAUCGCUAAAUUGCAUUAUUUCUUAUUUCAUGUGAUUUAUGAUUCUACAGUGCCCAUUAUGGUCAUAUUUUCCAAACCAAUAAUUAUUUUCUUAGUAAAUGAAUGUUGUAAUUUAAUAUAUUUAGAUAGGUCACAGUGUUCUAUAAAACAUUGUACUCAGAGUACAAAAAUAAGUGCUUUAUGCACACUCUUUAAUACUGUUUUUUCUCUUGCUUUUGGUACUUCAGCUAACUAACUUCACAUAAAUAGUCAAUAAUAACAAAAAAGGAAAAGAAGCAGGAGAUUGUUUAACAUCUGGAAAGUAGAAAUGCAUUUUGCUGACAGCAUGCUUUUCAUUAAGACAGGAUAACAAUAUCUGGCUAUAUUACAGUCAGAAAAGUAGAAAAAAAGAGGGCUCAUGAAGGAAUAGGAAUAAAAAUACCAAUAAUUACAUUAAAUAUUUAAACCAGUGAUAUGAUGGAUCAAGAAUAGAUUUAUCUGCACCUUAUGAGUCCAAAGAUCUCUUAGGAAUUACAGUGGCAAGUGCCAAGUUUCAAAAUAAAACCUACAUUUGAAUAAAAUAUGUAUACUUCAUUGCAAAUGUAUACUUUGUUACAAAAAAUAUAGGUACAAAGUUUGUUAAAUAGAUUUCUGGAUUUUAUAAACACAAGUAUACUUGGAAAACAGGAAUAGUUAACAACUGCAAGUAAACAAAAUGCAUGGGUAAGUGCUCAUUAGCAUCAUAAAUCAGUAUGCAAAUUUGUCAAUUCCAAGUUUUGAAGCAUGUUUUAAAGCUCUGGACCUCUAAAAUUAUUUCUUCCUAUUUUUGCUGUCUUUUAUAUUUCUUCUGGAGAAAAUAUUUGACAACUCAUUUUACUUAAAAAACAAUGGUAAUAGAGCAAGGGUUAAAUUCAUCUUUGAAAAGGCUUACUGUACCAACCUAGUGUUUGGUAAUAAUAAUGGAAACUUAAAGUUUAGAACAGAGUUGAUUUAUUUUUGGGAUUUUAAGUGACAAAAUCUACCAGCUGAUGCACUUAAAUUAAGUGCAAUUAUAUUCCAUUUUUAAAAAUUCAGAAUGGAUCACUAAAGUUUGUACUCCAUAGGAGAAAGAAAGGAAAGAAGUAGGGAAGGAAGACAGAAAGGUAUAUAUGUAUAUAUAUAGAUAGAUAGAUAGAUAGAUAGAUAGAUAGAUAGAUAGAUAGAUAGAUAGAUAGAUAGAUAGAUAGAUAUAGAUAGAUAGAUAGAUAGAUAGAUAGAUAGAUAGAUAGAUAGAUGAUAGAGAGAUAGAUAUAAACAUCUAUUUAUAUAUUUGUAUUCAUAGUUCAUAGUUUCUGGCAUAAGAGUAGGUAUAUAGCAAGUACAGAAUCAUACAUUCUACUGAAGAACAGGUUUGUGUGUUAAUAGUAAUAGUACUAUAUAAUUUGUUUAAUUCUAAAUAUUAGUAAAGUGAAUAAAGGAAGUGUAAAAAUGAAAAUACCUGUUAAUAGUAUUUUUCAUUAAAAUAUAAUCAAAUAUUUAUAUGGAAUUAUGUGAAGACUUUUGGGUGAAGAACAGUUCAUGAACAACCGUAAUGAAGUUAAAUGCAAGUGAAUUAAUAUUUAAGCAAAUUCGUAAAACAGGAAUUAAGGGAAGAAGCCAAUGUGCUUUUUAAGGUUUGGGGAAAUCCUUUCUGGUUUGGGGUAUAAGUAACUUCGCUUAAGGAAGAAAGGAACCAGCAAAUCCUCUAAGACCCUACUAAUGCCGGAUGAAUCUUGCCAGGACAAGCACAUGUCUCUGAGGGCUUUCAUCUUGUCCCCUGCCAGACUGGCUAAGUGGCUGCUAGUUCUGUUAAUUAAAGGCAAAACUCACUCAGGACCCAGAGCCCAUGGGCAGUGUGAGGAAAACUAGGACCAGAAAGGGGCUGGGCAGAGGGUCAGCUAGAUGGGGAGUGGAUUGAGGGUAACCAUGCAGGAGAAGACGAUGCAUUCCUCUCUGUUUGAGUAGUUGGGCCCUUUAGUUUAAGCUGCGUGUGCUCUGGAGCAGAUAAAGCCAAUUCUACAGCAUUAAAAAAAAAAA